rnacentral:rRNA from 1 species
GAUGAACGCUGGCGGCGUGCCUAAUACAUGCAAGUCGAGCGAACAGACGAGGAGCUUGCUCCUCUGACGUUAGCGGCGGACGGGUGAGUAACACGUGGAUAACCUACCUAUAAGACUGGGGUAACUUCGGGAAACCGGAGCUAAUACCGGAUAAUAUAUUAAACCGCAUGGUUCAAUAGUGAAAGACGGUUUUGCUGUCACUUAUAGAUGGAUCCGCGCCGCAUUAGCUAGUUGGUAAGGUAACGGCUUACCAAGGCAACGAUGCGUAGCCGACCUGAGAGGGUGAUCGGCCACACUGGAACUGAGACACGGUCCAGACUCCUACGGGAGGCAGCAGUAGGGAAUCUUCCGCAAUGGGCGAAAGCCUGACGGAGCAACGCCGCGUGAGUGAUGAAGGUCUUCGGAUCGUAAAACUCUGUUAUUAGGGAAGAACAAAUGUGUAAGUAACUAUGCACGUCUUGACGGUACCUAAUCAGAAAGCCACGGCUAACUACGUG